GUGGCGACGUAGCUUUUGCGGCGGAACAUCUGAGGGAAACUGGGCCUAAUAGGGGAUAGCCGCUGUCUGGGAAAGAUGUAUCGCCCAAAGAGGGGCCCGCGUCUGAUUAGCUAGUUGGUGAGGUAAUGGCUCACCGAGGCGACGGUCAGUAUCUGGUCUGAGAGGAUGAUCGGCCGCGUUGGGACUGAGACACGGCCCAAACUCC
rnacentral:rRNA from 1 species